UUAAGAACUGGUUUUUCACUUAAUUAGCUGUUAUUAAAUAAAGGGAGUACCUCUUUUUUUUAGGAAUUUUAACGAAAAACUUAUGUUAUUGUUUAUUUUAACGAAAAAUCAUAUUUUUACAUUAAAAAAUUAUUAUGAUAUUAUUCAUUUUAACUUUUAUUUUAUCUUAAAAUUUAAAAAUUUCAAAUCAUAUCAUUAGCUCUUUUUUUUUUCCCCUUAAUAAACAGGGCCUCUAUUGAUGAACGUAGCCAGCUUUUAAUAGGGUUCGAAAUAAAAGGGUGGAGUCAGUACAGUGUAAUCUGUGACUCUGUAAAAUCUCAGGCCCAAUAUUCUUCUCGGGAUUGAUGGUAAAAAAUAUAAAAAUACAAUUAAAAAAAAAUUAAUACAAAAAAAGAGACACCAUCGAGUUUUUACUAUAAAUACCAACCUCCCCUUCUCCUAAACCUACACCUCCACCCCCACCUCCACCUUCUCCGCCUCCUCCUCCUCCUCCUCUGCCUAACAGGCUAACCCUUUCUGCUGCUGCUUCUGCAUCUCCCCUUUUGGGGUUCUGCUCUUGCUGUCGUUCUCUGAUUGGCCGAAGCUUCGUAGCCAUCUUAUCUCUCUCUCUAGAUAUCCAUAGCCUUAGCGUUUCCCUCUCUUUCUUUCUCUAAAAUGGAUAGAAGAUGAUGAUCCUCUUUGUAUUCUUCCACAGCUUUCUUGAACUGCAUCCAUCUAUGGCGAGAUCGACCGAUCUUUGGAGUGAGUCGACUCAGUCUCUCUAUUCCCCUUAACUUGGUUUGCGGUUCAAUAAAGCUGUGGGAAGAUACAGAUAGGCUCAAUAAAAUUCGCUCACAUAAUGGAUCUCCAUUGUCCCUCAUAUCUUGCGGUGACAAAUUACAAUGCUGUUCUUUGAGGAGAAAUCUUCACCUGUUAACUCCCCCUCUCUCGGAUCGAGACUUCAGAGAACAUUCUUGAUAUGUAGUUCGAUCUCUGAUCCAUCUGUACUUUAUAUUCUGCUUAAUGAUUGAUAUAUUUUAUAUUAA